UACAGAGGUCCCAAGCGUUGUUCGGAUUCAUUGGGCGUAAAGGGUGCGUAGGCGGCGCGGUAAGUCGGGUGUGAAAUCCUGGAGCUCAACUCCAGAACUGCCUUUGAUACUGAAGAUCUUGAGUUCAGGAGAGGUGAGUGGAACUGCGAGUGUAGAGGUGAAAUUCGUAGAUAUUCGCAAGAACACCAGUGGCGAAGGCGGCUCACUGGCCCGAUACUGACGCUGAGGCACGAAAGCGUGGGGAGCAAACGGG
rnacentral:rRNA from 1 species